rnacentral:tRNA from 1 species
AAGGAAUUAGUUAAAUAUAAAUAAUAAUAUCUUGUCAAGAUAAAGUAAUCACCUUUAUGAUAUUCCUUU